AGAGACCCCUCCACGCCGACCUCAGCGCGCUCAUUGCAACUUACAGAAUCGGUUCCGUUCCGUUCGCUUUAGAACCAGGUCUCUGCCUUGCACUAAGGCGCAGGAAGAUGCAGAUCAGCGAAAAGCUGAAGAUGGGGCAAGGGAGGUUAGUCCAGGGGAGCGACGCCCGAUCGCUGACGAGAGAGGAUCGGGAGGGUCCGGAAGACGGAGUGGGAGGCGACAGGGCGCGUUCCUGACUGGGACCGCGCCGAAAAGGCCUGGAAGGCAACAGAAUUGCCCCUUGGCCUGGCAAGCGCCCGACACUUCCAGCCUGGCACUGCGGGCGGGCCAGCGUGUGCUGGGGUGGCGACGCCACAGCCACUAACGCGUGUGCGGUGCGGGAGGACAAGGAUGUCGGGCAGGGAUGUCCUGCUUGGCACCUCAGGACAGAGCCCAUGGUGGCUGGCGGCCCCUGGAAUGUUCGGGACGCAGAACACUUCGUGCUUGGGAACUUCUCAGAGGUGGGGACGAGGGAGAGGAAGGCGCCUGGAUGCCAGGAAGUCUCCAUCUUGGACAGCUGGGUGGUAUUUAAGAAGGUGGUAUUUAUUUUUGUCGACCAUAUUUUGCAGAGACUGGCAAGGAUGAGAUGAUGCCUAAGAAUAUCCAACUGGAGAUACUUAGUUGCUUUUGAAUAGGUAAUUUGCAUGGAGCUCAGGAAGGAAAGAUGAGAGGGUUUUAACUUUGUUGGUCGUUAAAAAAAAUCAAGAAUGUGACCUGUUUGUCACAUACGGAAUUGUUGGCCACGUUUUAGGAAGCAGUGUCAGUGACUACAGCAUUCUGUUUGGAGUUUUAUUGAAGAUUUCAUUCCAUAGACACUUUGGAGCACUUAUGUGUCAAGUGCUUGACAAGGCCAGGGUCAGCCGCUGUGCAGCCCCUGUAGCAGUUCCCAGGGACCCGGCAAAGCACCAGAGGGGGAGGAUGUUGUGUGAGUAUCGCUGGUAACCCUUCUCUCUCGCCUCCCUCGUGACUCCAGGUCACUCAAACUGGGCUCCAGAGAGUAAGAACCCCGAGUCCAGGGGCUGGAGAAAUAGCUGUGAAAACCCUGCACUCAUGGAGUUUUAAUUGUACUAGAGGAGGGGUCAGACAAGUAGAAAGUAUUUAUCUGGUAGUGAUAACACUACUGUUAGGGGUUAGGGUGUGAUGGGGCGGGGAAUUAUUUCAAGCAGCAGUUUUGGAAGUUCUCUUUGAGGAGGUAACACCUGAGCAGAGAUUUGAAUACAGUGAGGGAAGAAACGAUGUGACUGUAUGGGUAAAGUGCCUUCUAAAGGGAGGGAACAGAAAUGCUGACCAGAGAGAAGUGUGCUUGGUGAACUCCAGGCUUGGCAAGGUCAGUAUGACUGGCGAGGGCCUACUGAACAAGGAAGACUGCGAGAUGCUGUUGCAGGAGUAACUACAGGCCUUGAAGGAAGGAAAUUUGGAUUUAUUUCUGUGCCUGGAAAUGAUUAGAUUUGAAAGAGUGACAUGGCUGGGCACGUUUUGAUAGACGCACUGGUCAGCUUCAAAGAAGGCAGACAGUGGUGGGGCUAGAGGGGAUACAGGAAGACCAAUGAGGAGGCAAUGACAGCAGUCCACAAUUACAAGUAGCCUCCCACAAUUAUAUAACCUUUCCACAAGGCAUUUGCUUUGAGAGCCUAAUGAUUCUAAGAUAUUGAAGGGUUUUGGGUGCUAUGCUCAGGAGUUUGGAUAUUAUUGUUUUCAGGAAUUUAAGAAUGAUAAUAUGUAUUGAGCACUAACUACAUGUUGGGAGUUUUUUUGUUUGAGACACAGUUUCACUUUUGUUGCCCGGGCUGGGGUGCAAUGGCAUGACCUCGGCUUACCGCAAGCUCCGCCUCCCGGGUUCAAGCAAUUCUCCUGCCUCAGCCUCCCCUGUAGCUGGGACUACAUGCAUGCGCCAUCACGCCUGGAUAAUUUUGUACUUUUAGUAGAGAUGGGGUUUCCCCAGGUUGGUCAGGCUGAACUCCUGACUUCAGGUGAUCCGCCCGCAUCGGCCCCCUAAAGUGCUGGGAUUACAGGCAUGAGCCACUGCGCCUGGCCAUGUUGGGCACUUUUACAAGCACUUUACAUUAUCUAAUGCAACCAAAAACUGAGGUUUGCCCUAUUAAUAAAUGAGAAAACUGAGGCACUCAUCUGUUAAGUGCCUUGCUCAGGUCCCAUGUCCUUGGAACCAGGAGUCCUUCUCCUGUUGAUGUUGGAAGGUUCAAAAGUGCUCUUAUUACUUGUCACCCAGAUGGCAAAGAACUGACAUACAAAGGCCCAAGUCUUCCAGAACUGAAAACAGUAAUAAAACCUUCAUUUAUCUGA